CCGGUCCCCGGCGCGCCGGGGCUGCGGGGCGGGGCGGGCUGCGGCCGGUCCCGCCUCCCUGACCCUUGGCCUCCGGCCUGCGGGCGAGGAGAGGUCGGGAGGCGGCCCCGGGAGGGGCCCGCCCGCCUCCGCAGGAAGUGCAGCCGGGCGGCCUGCCCCGGGGAAGACGCCGGAGCCGCCGCCGGCCCCUGGCACCGGCCCGGGUCCCGCGAGCAGGUGCCCGCCGCCGCCCCGCGCGAGACCGGCUGCGGUUCUGGCUCGCUGGGCCUGCAGCCCGCACGGGGAAGGGUCCGGCUGGGGGGCGGGGGUCUUCGGGCUCCUUUGCUGGGGAGGGGGCUUGGCCGACAUCCCGUGCUGGCCGGGCUGCUUGCUGGGUGUCGGGGCGAGGCGGGCAAUACUCCCUCCAUCCAGUGCGGGGGCACCUGCCGCGACCCCCACCCCAGGCCCCCAGGACAGGUAACCACAGAAACGGCCGGCGGCGGCGCCGGGUCCUGGCGUCGCCAGGGAGAAGCUCGGCGCCGCCCCCACCAGAAACGCGGGCUGCGGGGAGGCACUGCAGGGGGCGUCGGCCCUCUCCCCCUCCCUCGCCCUCGCCGCAGCGCCCCGUGCGGGCCCACACCUCGAAGGAGACGGGCUCCUGGCAGCCCCGGGCUGCGGGGGAUGCAGUGGGGCGCCCGCAGCCGCAGCGCCCUGCCUGCCCGCGUGCGUGGCGGAGACCAGUGGGCCGAGGCCGCGUGCGGCUGCUGGUGGCGCAUCCGCGCGGAGGGAGGGUGGGCCAACAGGUGGGAGGCAGCCAGGCGACUGCAAAAGCGGGCAUCAGCCGGUGGGGGUGGGGGGUGCUGUGCCUUGGUCACCUGGAAGCGCCCAGGGCUCACCCAGCUCGCGGCUGGUCCUGAAUGCCAAGGCGGCACACGGGCUGGUGUCUAGGGUGUCCGGAGCUGGCACCAGUUCUUUUGCUUGGCCUUGUGGCCGGCUUGUGGCACAGCCAGUGGUGAGUCCACUGCCUGCCACGCGGGCAUCCCCAGCUGCGAACCGGCUGGAGGCCUGGCUGCUUAGCUUCCGAUCCAGCUUCCCCUGGGAAAGUAGCCGGACAGCCCAAGCACUGGGCGUCUGCCACCCCACCUGGGAACCCUGGAUGGGCUUCCUGGCUCCUGGCUUUGGCCUGGCCCUACGCUGCUUUUUGCAGUCAUUUGAGGAGUGAACCAGCAGAUGGACCCGAGAGAGAUGGGGUCCAGGGGUCAGUCAGAGCCAGGCCUGGAGGUGGCACUCAGUACUCUGCCACGAGUAUUGGUGAGAGUUUGCCGCACAGCCCCGGCUGGAUGCGAGGGGCCUGGGACAAAACUGAGCCAGUUUGGGGAACACACAGCAGGGAUCUGCCCAGACACUGGCGCCAUCCCACAGCGACAGCAGGCUGCAUGAGCGUGGGCGUCACCGCCCGGGCCUGUGCGGUGCCGUUGGCUCACGGGCAGAGGUCAGUUUGUGGAGGAGGUGACCGUGUCCCAGGGUCUUGCAGGAUGAGCAGGGGUCCCCGGUGGCGUAGGAGAAGUGCAUGACACAGGUGGGAGGUGGGAUCGUAGGUGGCGCAGCUCGGGGGAGCUCAGGCAGGUGGAGGGGUGUUCUGGAGCAGCCUGCUCUCCGUCCCAACGUUGCCCACGCUGCCCACGCACCUGCACAGGUUCUCUCCCAGCUCUGCUUGCAAUUCCAGCUUCCUGCUGAUGCGCACCCUGAGAGGCGGCAGGUGAUGGCUCAUCCUUGGGUCCCUGCCACCCACAUGGGAGACCCAGCAGGAGUUCCUGACUCCUGGCUUUGGCCUGGUUCCUGGCUAUUGCAGGCAUUUGAGCAUUGAACCACUCUCACCUUGCCCAACUCCUCAGUCCACGCGCAUGUCUCUUUGCUGAACCUGUAGAGAAACGCAUCACAAACCUCACGAUUCGGGCGUGAGUCUCUCCGGUGACUGGCAGAAGCAAAGUCACAGACCCAGAGGAGCUGCCACCUGCUGGCUCUCUCCCCGGAUGCCCUCAAAGCCAGGACCGAGCCAAGCCAAAGCCAGGAGCUGGGAAUUCAACCCGGGCUCUCAGAUGUCCCGGAACCACCCCCUGGAGUCAUCGCCUGCUACUCCAGGGCCUGCCUGCACUGGAGACGCUGCGUUAGCCAGAGCCAGGAAUGAAACCCAGGCGCUCCCACGUGGGCACGGCUGUCCCCACGGCCUGAGGCGCUCCCACGUGGGCACGGCUGUCCCCACGGCCUGAGGCGCUCCCACGUGGGCACGGCUGUCCCCGCGACCUGAGGCGCUCCCACGUGGGCACGGCUGUCCCCGCGGCCUGAGGCACUCUCACGUGGGCACGCUGUCCCCACGGCCUGAGGCACUCCCACGUGAGUGUGGGUGUCCCCACGGCCUGAGGCACUCCCACGUGGGCACGGCUGUCCCCACGGCCUGAGGCACUCCCACGUGAGUAUGGGUGUCCCCACGGCCUGUGGCACUCCCACGUGGGCGCAGUGUCCCCACGGCCUGAGGCACUCCCACGUGGGCGCAGUGUCCCCACAGCCUGUGUCACUCCCACGUGGGCGUGGGCGUCCCCACAGCCUGGCCAAUGCCACCCUGAGGCUGUGUGGUUUUUCUCAUUUUUAUUGUGUAGAAAUACACAUAACAUAAAAUGUGUCAUCUUAAUCCUUUAAAGUGUACAGCUCAGUGGUAACUAACAAAUUCAUAAGGUAUUUGUGUAUUAUUAUAAUACAACCAUCACCACCAUCUAUCCCAUAACCCUUUUAUCUUGUGAAACUAAAGUUGUUUUGUUUUCCUAAAGAUUUAUUCAUUUGGAAAUCAGAGUCACAGAGAGAGAGAGAGAAAUCUUCCAUCUUCUUGUUCAUUCAUCAGUUGGCCGCAACGGCCAGUGCUGGGCCAGGCUGAAGCCAGGAGCCAGGACCUUCUUCCGGGUCUCCCCUGUGGGUGCAGGGACCCAAGCACUUGGGCCAUCUUCCACUGCUUUUCACGGUCCAUUAGCAGGGAAGUAUACUGGACAUGGAGGAGCUAGGACUCAAACCGGGGCCCGGAUGGGAUGCCGGUGCUGCAUUCACGGUGUUAGAUGUUACGCCACGAAGCCGCCCCCGGGAACCUGAAACCCUACAGCUACUAAAUAAUAAGGCCCCGGGCCAGCGCUGUGGUGCAGCUGUUAAGCCCCAGCCUGCAGUGCCUGUAUCCCAUAUGAGCCCCAGUUCAAGUCCCAGCUGCUCCACUUCUGAUCCAGCUCUUGCUGUGGCCCGGGAGGGCAGUGGAAGAUGCCCAAGUGCAGGGCCCCUGCACCCACGUGGGAGACCUGGAAGAAGCUCCUGGCUCCCGGCUCCGGCCUGGCCCAGCCCCGGCCAUUGCAGCCGUCUGGGGAGUGAGCCAGGGGAUGGAAGACGUCUCUCUCUGACUCUGCUCCUCGCCCUCUAACUCUGUAAGUGGAAUCCCACAGUAUUUGUCCUUUUGUGACUGGCUUGUUGGUUACACUUAGCAUAACCUCCCGAGAGUCCUCCGUGCUGCCGCGAGUCAGAAUCUCCCUCCUUUCUGAGGUCUGGCGAUGCCGCGUUGCGUGUUCCUCGCCGUCUGCUUGUCCACUCCUCUGUGAGGGACACGGGCUGCUUCCCCACCGUAGCUGUUGUGGGAGUGCUGCUGACUCAAGUGUGCACAAACAUUGAGUCUGUGUUUCAUUUCUCUGGGGUGUGCACCAGAGAGGGACUGGCCACUCCUAUGGGAAAGUUGUCUUCGUUUUUUUGAGGAAGCUCACGCUCUGUCCCACCGUGGCUGUAGCAUUUUGCGUCCCCACCAGCUGCGUCCAGCGGCUCCACUUCGUCCAGAUCGUCACCGGCACUGUCACUGCUUGUUUCUGGUGGCCGCUGUCCUAGUGGGCGGGAGAGGGGAUGUCACUGAAAUCCCGAUUACUAAGCCUGUGUCUGUGCACUUAGUGGUUAUUUGUGUAUCGUAUUUGGGAAAUACUCAAGGCCUUUGCCUGCUCUUUAACUGGGUUGGUCGUUUUGUUGUUGAUGUUUUAAAGUUCUCUCCGGAGCCUGCACUGUGGCACAGUAGGUUAAUCCUCCCCCUGCAGUGCGGCAUCCCCUCUGGGCACCGGUUCACGUCCCGGCCGCUCCUCUUCUGAUCCAGCUCUCUGCUGUGGCCUGGGAAAGCAGUGGAGGAUGGCCCAAGGGCUUGGGCCCCUGCACCUGUGUGGGAGACCUGGAAGAAGCUCCUGGCUCCUGGCUUAGGAUCGGCCCAGCCCUGGCCAUUGCAGCCAUUUGGAGAGUGAACCAGAGGAUGGAAGACCUUUCUCUCUGUCUCUCCCUCUCUCUGUCUGUAACUCUACCUCUCAAAUGAGUAAAUAAAAUCUUUUUUUAAAAAAAGUUCUCUCCGCAUCCUGGAUACUAAUCUCAUCAGAUAUAUGAUUUGCAAAUAUUUCCUCCCAUUCUUUGGGUUGCCUUUUUACACGGUUGGUUUUGUCUUUCAGUGUACAAUUUUUGAAAAUUUUUUCAUGAAAUCUAUUUUUCACUUUGCUGCCUGUGCCUUUGACGUCACAUCCUAUGAAUCAUGGCCAAAUCCAGUGCCACGAAGCUUUUGCUUUGUUUUCUUCCAAAAGUGGUCGUUUUAGGCCUUCCACUCAGGUCCUUGUUCAUUGGAGCUUGGUGUUUGUCUAGGGCGUGAGGAAGGGUCCAGCUGCAUUGUUCUGCUUGUAGAUUUCUGGUUUUCCCAGCACCGUUCGUUCAUUGGAAAGACAGUCUUCUGCCGCACAGUGGUCAUGGCACUUCUGCAGGACAGCGUUUGACCAAACACGCCCAGUUUAUCUCUGCACUGUUCCCCACCGUUGUGUCAGCCGCUGUCUGGAUUCCUGUAGCCUUGUGGUAAGGGAACCUGUGCUUCGAGGGAGGAAUGAGAGUCAGCGACAGGCGGGUCUCACAGCUGCACCUGCCCAGGUGUUGCAAAAAGUAGUGUUUUGUUCUUGUAUGUUGCUAGUGGCACUUCCCGGGCCCAAGUGGGUGCCCUGCUGGGGAGGCUGGGGCCCCCAGCCUGUCUCCCCCACGCAUCUCUCUCCCGGUUUUCUUUGUAAUUACAGAGCGGGGAGAUGGGCUGCCAGGAAUAGAGUGGGCGAGGCCUUGGCGGGCGGGAGUGGCCCCUCUGGCUGCCUGCCCUUCCCCUGACACUUCCCCAGGCACUGGUGGGCAGAAGCCGCGGAGGGCUUCCUGCAGCGCUGGCAGGCAGAGCCCCGAGCCGGCUGAAGAGGGGAAGUGAGAGCUGUGCCCCGGAUGCGGCCUCGGAUGGCGGGUGGGUCCCGGCUGGGCACCGGGGUCCGGGACCACCUUGUUUGGCUGCGUGGGGGGCUGCUCCCGAUGUACGUGCUGUGGCCCGUGGAGGGAGCAGGGAGUCCGGUUCUAAGGGGUCCCCUUCCCGGCUCUAUCGCUGCGAGCUCCAGGGGCCCGAGAGAAGUCGAAGUGUCCCUGUUGCCUUGCUAGGGGCUCACUGGUACCCCCUCCCCGUGCCAGACUCAGACGUUGAAACCUUAACUCCCAAGGGGACUGAUUGGAGCCUGGUUAGGCUGUACUUGCGGCUGAAUGAGUCACAAGCCCUGAUCCAAAGGCCCGGAGAUCCACACAGAGGAGAGGCAGCUCUCGCUCCCCGCGUGAGCAAAGGCACAGAGCAGAGGGUGGCCGACGACCAAGCAGGACGCGGGCCCUUAGCGGAGUCAGCGCCAGCUGCCCCCACGCCCACCACGAUGGCAUUUGCUCCCGCAGCCCCCAGCACAAGACAUAGGCCGUGCUCGCUGUGUUACUUCUUCCAUCCCCUGCUACCGCUCUCUAACCCCCGGGACCCUGCCCUUCGUGGACAGAAGGGUGCAGGAGGUUCUGGGCUUUGUGCAAGAAAGAAUUCAGGGCCGGCGCCGCAGCUCACUAGGCUAAUCCUCCACCUUGCGGCGCCGGCACACCGGGUUCUAGUCCCAGUCAGGGUGCCAGAUUCUGUCCCGGUUGCUCCUCUUCCAGGCCAGCUCUCUACUGUGGCCCGGGAGUGCAGUGGAGGAUGGCCCAAGUGCUUGGGCCCUGCACCCCAUGGGAGACCAGGAGAAGCACCUGGUUCCUGCUUUCGGAUCAGUGCGGGGCGCCGGCCACGGCGGCCAUUGGAGGGCGAACCAACGGCAAAGGAAGAGCUUUCUCUCUGUCUCUCUCUCUCACUGUCCACUCUGCCUGUAAAAAAAAAAAAAAAAAAAAAAAUUCGGACUUGCAACAGAGAGUAGCCAUGGUGAAGCCAGCCAUGCGUGGUGAGCCAUCCGCACAAAAAUUCCCACUUUUCUUCCGAAAGGAUCCCCGUUUUCUCCGGCCCCUCAUGCAGGCAUAGGCUAAGGUCUGCUGGCUACCGAACAGCCCUGGGGCUUUGAGGGCCUGGCUGUGGGCCCUGAGAAGUUCCUUGCCCCCAUGCCCCACUUCUAGAACCCCUCUGGCCAGCCUGGGUUGGGGGGGACAGCGCGUGGCUGAGAGAGGGACAGGUUCACUCGGCGUGGGCUCCUCUCUCCGCCAUCACCAACAGCGCACGUGAGUACUGAGGGAACGGGCCCAGCCCCUUCUCUAAGGUGGACAACUGGACCUGCCUCGUGGGGAGGUGGAGAGGCUUGAGUGAGCUAACACCGGAUGCUUCCAGAAAGAGAAGCUGCCCCUCCCCCUUCGCUCCUCCCCCCCCCCCCACUUUAUCAGUCCAGAACGUUAUCUUUAGUAACCGCAAUGGAGCCCUAAGCCAGGGUUCCGUGUCCUAAUUCAUGACGUGUGGACGUUAGGGUGGCAGGUGCUCCCGGGGAGCGCUGGCUCGGCCGUUCUUGUCAUCGUUCGAGAAGGAUCUCAGACGUGAGACGGGGAGGCUCGCUCCUGUCUCCAUAGCUACCCUAACAUCACCUCCAGCAUCCUGUGUUUCAGCCGUGCCGGGGGAACGGCACCUUACCCCACGGAGCACGGGUCGGCCUGGGUGCUCCGCCCUUGGGUUCAGAGGAGCAGAUCAGAGACGCGGUGGGGCAGACGUGGCUUCGUAAUCCGGGACACGUGCACUCCAGUGACCGCCGUGUUGAUCUUGUAGCUGCGGCCCUGCAGAGAGACCCCCGAGUUGGGAUUUACCCGUGUGGUCUUGCUGAUUGCACAGCUGGGUAGAGGGGCCCCAGGGCUGACCGCUGGUUGCCCAGUGUGGGAGGUGGCUCUGCACGUCGCCCUGACAUUUCCGUGUCUGGUCCGGCUGCAGGACUUCUCAUGCAAAAGCAGCUGGGACCGGACACCACUGCUUUCGUGUCCCGCUCCGCCCCGGGGGCUUCUCGCCUGCCCAGGGCUGGAGAGCUGCGUCUCUCUCCCGAGACACACUCGCACCUCUGCCGUGAUGUGGGGUGGACGUGAAAACCCUGCGGCCUCGCAGGUCUCUCGUCUUGCAGCUCAACACUGACCGAACCCCAACAGAUGGACAACACAGUGCUCGAGAGUAGUUGUACAUUUCCUGGUAGGCCCGGUUUUAAACAUGAAAAGACACAAGGGACAUUAAUUUUAAUCAUGCAUUUGGUUUCUGUAUGUACUAUGAUUCAUCAUUCAAUGUCUAAUCAAUGUAGAAAUUAUGGAAGGAUUUUUUAAAUGAUGAUGCUGGGACAGAAACAUCCGUGGCUUAUUUAUUUAUUUAUUUAUUUAUUUUGUUGUACCUGCGUGAGUGCACACAGCGGAGCGCCACACACUGAGCCAAGGUGCCCGUCCUUUGUUGCCGGCGGCCGAGAGUGGGCUCAUGCCCUCGAGAGCUCUCGACCCCGAAGCCCAAAGCAACAGGGGAUUUAAAGGCAAAACCCACAAACUCAGGAGGGGAACACGUGGUUACCGGGGUCAAGCUGACCUAAAACCUAUGCGAAAUUAAUAUCAAUUAUAAUCUUGACGAUACCAGUUACAAUCUCAAUAUUAAUUAGAAUCUUGACAUUAAUCCACAUAUUGGUUUUAAUCCUGUGUAGGACGUAGACAAAUUGCAUUUUAUCAUUAACCCAGGGCAGCCUAUCGGCUUCCAGGCUUGAGCAGUCACGCUAGGGGGUUCUCUGCUCUGCCGAGUGUGAUGCAGUUUGCUGCUGCUGUCCGAGAGUCUCAGACCAGAGUCUCAUGGGGGGGGGGGUGCGUUUUCAAGAUGGAGUCUCAGGUGCUCCAAAAUGGAGAGAGAAAUUGAGAGAGGAAAGAGAGGGCUCUCAUCUACGGUUCACUCCCCAAAUGCCCACAUUGGUUGGGGUUGGGCCUGAACUGAGGCCGGAACCAGGAGCCCAGUCCAGGUCUCCCAUGUGGGUAGCACAAGCCCAAGGACUUGAGCCAUAACUGCUGCCUCCCAGGGUCUGCGCUGGAAGGAAGCUGGAGUCAGGAGCCGGAGCUGGGAAUUGAAUCCAGCCCCUUUCGUGUGGGCUGUGGUACCCCAACCGCGAGCCAAGCACACCCGCCGUGAGUGAGGUGUUUGUGUUCUUGUCUUCCACUUCAGCUCCUUGGAAUUCAGUUCUAACUCACAACGAUCUCUGGGCUGAGCUGCAGCUCAGGCAUACGGGCCAGUGGGCCGCAAGCUUCGGGGACCCCAGAGUCCCUGGAAUGACGUUAGAUACUGACGCUGGACCCACGCCGAGAUUCCGACUCGGUGGGUCUGGAGCGUAGCCCGGGAGCUUGCACCUCUGGCAGAGUUCUGUGCGACGCUGACGCGGCUGGUGCAGGGACCGGGCGAGAGUCCUCUGGAGCGAAAGAACCCAGCUAAGAUGUGGGGAAGGGUUGGGGCACUUCACCAAGGAGGACAGACAAGGGGCUGUGGACAGUGCAAACUACAAGAAAAAAAUUACGCAUGAAUUUCACAAUUUUCUUGCACCGAAGUAAGCUAAUCUCUUAAUUCCACUUUCUGUGAGCAUUUCGAAGCACUCCCGUUUAAAUGACCAACAAGCGCUUGGAAAGAAGUUCAGCGCCAUUAGUCGUUGGGAAAUGCAAGCUGCAACCUCAGGCGGGUACCGCUUCCCAUCACCAGGAUGGCAGGAAUCAAAGCGAAGAGCAGGCACAGCUGUCGGCGAAGGUGUGGAGAAACCGGAGCCCACGUACAUCGCUGCUGGGAGUAUAAAGCGGUGCUUUGGCUGUGGAAUACGGUAGAGCAGUUCUUCAGAUUUUUUUAUUUGAAAGGCAGAGUUACAGAGAGAGGGGGAGAAACAGAGUGAGAGAUCUUCCAUAUGCUGGUUCACUCCCCAGAUGGCCACAACAGGGCUGGGCUGGUCUGAAGCCAGGAGCCAGGAGCUUCAUCAGGGUCUCCCACGUGGGUGCAGGGGCCCAAGCACCCGGGCCAUCGUCUGCUGCUUUCCCAGGUGCAUUAGCAGGAAUUAGGUGGGUCAGAAGUGGAGCAGCUGGGACUUGAACCGGUGCCGGUACGAGAUGCCGGUGCCGCAGAUGGUGGCUUUACUUGCUACACCACGGCACCAGCCCCAGGUCUUCAGAAUUUAAAUGUAGAGGUUACCAUGUGACCCACUCCUAGGUGGAGACACAAGAAAACUGGAAUAGGUUUUCGUACAAAAAUUUACACACGCAGACUGGUAACAGCCAUGUUCAUCAGGCCUCCAAGGUGGGACCAGCGCCCAAGUCCACCAGCUGACGAGCGGAUAAACCAGACGUGGCCCAUGCAGCCAGCAGGCCCGGGUCAGCCACAGAGGAAGUGAACCGCCGAUGCGUGCUGCCGCGUGUUGAACCGCAAAGAUGCCACGCCACGUGACAGGAGCCACGCACAAAAGGCCACGGAUGGCGUGACGUCACCCAUCUGCCGCAUCCCGCAUCGGCAACGGCACAGCGACUGAGUCAGUCUGUGGCUGCCAGGGGCUGGCAGUGCAGGAGAGGAGUGUGGCUGCUGGUGGGUGCGGUGAUGGGCUGGGAAUCAGAUGGUGGCGACAGGUGCGCGGCUCUCUGUGCAGAAUGAAACCUGAACCGCACACCUGAAAUAGAUAAAUGCUGAGACUGGAGAGCCAGGCUCCCGCCGCGGACCACGCUGCCCAGAUGCCAGGUGGGAGGCAGCUCCUACGCCGACUGCUACGUCGGGUGCUCCCUCCACCCCGCCUCUGGCUCGUGGAGCUGCGCUUGCCGAACUACUGCAAGCACACAGUGUUUUUAAAAAUUUAUUUAUUUUGGCCGGCGCUGCGGCUCACUAGGCUAAUCCUCUGCCUGCGGUGCCGGCAUCCUGGGUUCUAGUCCCAGUCGGGGUGCUGGAUUCUGUCCCGGUUGCCCCUCUUCCAGGCCAGCUCUCUGCUGUGGCCCGGGAGUGCAGUGGAGGAUGGCCCAAGUGCUUGGGCCCUGCACCCCAUGGGAGACCAGGAGAAGCACCUGGCUCCUGCCUUCGGAUCAGCGUGGUGCGCCGGCCACAGCGGCCAUUGGAGGGUGAACCAACGGCAAAGGAAGACCUUUCUCUCUGUCUCUCUCUCUCUCUCACUGUCCACUCUGCCUGUCAAAAAAAAUAAAAAUUAAAAAAUGUAUUUAUUUUUAUUUGAAAGGCAGAGUUACUGAGAGAGGAGAGACACAGAGAGAGAGAGAGAGGUCUUCCAUCCGCUGCUUUACUCCCCAGAGGGCUGCAACAGCCAAGGCAGGGCCAGGAGCCAGGAGCUUCAGCCAGGUCUCCCACGUGGGGGCAGGGCCCAAGCACCUGGGCCAUCCUCCACUGCCUUCCCAGGAGCCUUAGCAGGGAGCUGGGUCAGAAGGGGAGCGGCUGGGACUUGACCCAGCACCAUAUGGGGUGCCGGCGUCACAGCUUAACCCACAGCGCCACACACAGGCCCCGGCAGGCCAAGUCCUUUUGUAAAGUGAAUGGGGAAUCUCACAAAAGAAAAAGAGCCAAGUGGCCAACACGCCUGUGAAAGAUGCUCAGCCCCUUCUGGGGCCGAGAACGGGAGACCCCAUUUCCCACGCGAGCA